UACGGGGGGGGCAAGCGUUGUUCGGAAUUACUGGGCGUAAAGGGCUCGUAGGCGGCCAACUAAGCCGGAUGUGAAAUCCCCAGGCUUAACCUGGGAACUGCAUCCGAUACUGGAUGGCUAGAGGUAGGUAGGGGAGAUCGGAAUUCCUGGUGUAGCGGUGAAAUGCGCAGAUAUCAGGAGGAACACCGGUGGCGAAGGCGGAUCUCUGGGCCUUACCUGACGCUCAGGCACGAAAGCUAGGGGAGCGAACAGG
rnacentral:rRNA from 1 species